UUCACUGUCUUCGGUUCAACUUUUGAUACGAAUGAGUUAAACAUACAAAACUCAACCUUUGAAAAUAAGGAUGUCUGUUUUGCCUUCAGUUGAGAUCGGGUCAGAACCUUUUCAGAUACAUCACCAACUACUUGAGAGAUAGGAUGAUCUCUGGUCCAUUUGGUAAGAGGAGGGUAAUUCGGAUCAAAGGUUGGGUCUAGUUCAGCGUUGAUCAUUUCUUCUGGCUCAGAUUGGCUAUCGUAAUCAAGCGUCAUAUCAUCAUGCUCCCCCUCAAUUGAUGAGUCUUGAGAAACAUGAGGUUCAGGGGUUUCUUGUGGUGCUGGACUUUCAGGCGUUGAAGCACCUUCGUUUGGAGGGGUAUCUUCGGUUGGAGAGGCACCUUCGGUUGGUGAAGGACCUUCGGUUGAAGUUGUAGAGCUUGGCUCCCCCUGGACUUGUGAGCUUGGCUCCCCCUCGACAUGAGAACUUGGCUCCCCCUCGACUGAAGCAUUGUUGGAUGGAGAUUCAUCAGUGGGCGAUUC
rnacentral:lncRNA from 1 species